CCCUUAGAUGUUCUGGGCAGCACGCGCGCUACAAUGGUCUUCGCAAACGGAUGCAUUCUCGAAGGAGAAUGCCAAUCUUGGAAUCUAUGCCUUGGUCGGGACAGUUGCUUGCAAUUUUUCGACUCGAACCAGGAAUUCCUUGUAAUCGUGAUUCAUCACAUCACGAUGAAUACGUCCCUGCCCUUUGUACACACCCCCGUCGCUCCUACCGAUCGAAGAGUUAGGUGAAUUGUUUUGAUCGAUAAGAUUUGACUAUGGUCAACUCUCGUUGUGAAAUUCUGUGAAUCUGACUGUUUAGAGGAAGGAAAAGUCGUAACA
rnacentral:rRNA from 1 species